rnacentral:rRNA from 1 species
AGCGAACGUUUGCGGCGGGCCUAACACAUGCAAGUCGAACGCACUAGCAAUAGUGAGUGGCGCACGGGUGCGUAACACGUGGGUAAUCAACCCUUCAGCUUGGGAUAACGACUUGAAAGGGUCGCUAAUACCGGAUACGGCGAGAGAGGCUUCGGCAUUUCUCGAGAAAGCCUCGCAAGGGGCACUGAAGGACGAGCCUGCGGCCCAUCAGCUAGUUGGUGAGGUAAGAGCUCACCAAGGCGAAGACGGGUAGCUGGUCUGAGAGGAUGAUCAGCCACACUGGAACUGAGACACGGUCCAGACUCCUACGGGAGGCAGCAGUGGGGAAUAUUGCGCAAUGGGCGAAAGCCUGACGCAGCCACGCCGCGUGAGCGAUGAAGGCCUUCGGGUCGUAAAGCUCUGUGGGGAGAGACGAAGAAAGACCGGUGAAGAGCGGCCUUGACGGUAUCUCCUUAGCAAGCACCGGCUAACUCCGUGCCAGCAGCCGCGGUAA